rnacentral:rRNA from 1 species
CCUACGGGAGGCAGCAGUGGGGAAUAUUGGGCAAUGGGCGCAAGCCUGACCCAGCAACGCCGCGUGAAGGAAGAAGGCUUUCGGGUUGUAAACUUCUUUUCUGGGGGACGAACAAAUGACGGUACCUCAGGAAUAAGCCACGGCUAACUACGUGCCAGCAGCCGCGGUAAUACGUAGGUGGCAAGCGUUAUCCGGAUUUAUUGGGUGUAAAGGGCGUGUAGGCGGGAAUGCAAGUCAGAUGUGAAAACUCAGGGCUCAACCCUGAGCCUGUAUUUGAAACUGUGUGUCUUGAGUGCUGGAGAGGCAAUCGGAAUUCCGGGUGUAGCGGUGAAAUGCGUAGAUAUACGGAGGAACACCAGUGGCGAAGGCGGAUUGCUGGACAGUAACUGACGCUGAGGCGCGAAAGCGUGGGGAGCAAACAGGAUUAGAUACCCCAGUAGUC